rnacentral:tmRNA from 2 species
GGGGAUGUAAAGGCUUCGACGGGGUCGCGGAGACUCAGGGAGCGAGCCGCAGAGGGUUCUGCGCAUCAAACCCAAACUUUUAAAAUUAAACGCUAACAAUCAAGUAGCAUACGCUGCCUAAUUAACGCAGCUGCUCUGCUGUGACUACCGCACUCACAGAUUAGGGUAUCAUCAAACGCGGUGAACGUGAGCGAAAAAAGCUUUGAUUUCGCCAUGAAUUUAUGAAGCUACCGAUUUCACGGGGAUGUUUGUGAACCUGUGACAAUCGGGAAUAUUAAUCACAAACUACGCUCGUAGCGCCCUGUGGGGACGCUUCUUCGGACGGGGGUUCAAUUCCCCCCAUCUCCACCA